rnacentral:rRNA from 1 species
AUAGCGUAUAUUAAAGUUGUUGCAGUUAAAAAGCUCGUAGUUGAAACUUGGGCCUGGCUGGCCGGUCCGCCUCACCGCGUGUACUGGUCCGGCCGGGCCUUUCCUUCUGGAGAUCCCCAUGCCCUUCACUGGGCGUGCGGGGGAACCAGGACUUUUACUUUGAAAAAAUUAGAGUGUUCAAAGCAGGCCUUUGCUCGAAUACGUUAGCAUGGAAUAAUAGAAUAGGACGUGCGGUCCUAUUUUGUUGUUUUCUAGAACCGCCGUAAUGAUUAAUAGGGAUAGUCGGGGGCAUCAGUAUUCAAUUGUCAGAGGUGAAAUUCUUGGAUUUAUUGAAGACUAACUACUG